UCGUGUAUAGGUCCUGCCCUGAGGGAUCAACACAACUUUCCUUUGUGCUAACACGAGCAACAGAAGGACCAACCUCAGACAUAGGAGACAGUACGAGUCCUUGUGAUUGCAUCUGGGACUGCAUUUGGCUGAAGGACAACAUUAGUCAUCAAGUUCCUUUUUUUUUUUUAUCAACUCCUCCAGCCGAUCCCUGAUUUUUUGUGACAGCUGCUCCAAGUCUUUGGGAGCCAUGGACAUAGAUGUGCAGGAGCCUCUUGAAAUCGGUUGAAAGUAUUGUUUGAUCAUGACACUGGCUCUAGCAUCACGGACACGACUAGGGUGCUCUAGUCGUCCAAUGGAAACAGCCAGCACAUCUUGACGUCCAUGAGCGACAAAGCUU
rnacentral:lncRNA from 1 species